GCAUUGGUGGUUCAGUGGUAGAAUUCUUGCCUGCCACGCGGGAGACCCGGGUCCGAUUCUCGGCCAAUGCA
rfam:Danio rerio chromosome 4, GRCz11 reference primary assembly.